UACGUAGGGUGCAAGCGUUAAUCGGAAUUACUGGGCGUAAAGCGUGCGCAGGCGGUUAUGCAAGACAGAUGUGAAAUCCCCGGGCUCAACCUGGGAAUUGCGUUGGAGACUGCAAGGCUGGAGUCUGGCAGAGGGGGGUAGAAUUCCACGUGUAGCAGUGAAAUGCGUAGAGAUGUGGAGGAACACCGAUGGCGAAGGCAGCCCCCUGGGUCAAGACUGACGCUCAUGCACGAAAGCGUGGGGAGCAAACAGG
rnacentral:rRNA from 1 species